rnacentral:rRNA from 1 species
GACCGGCGCACGGGUGAGUAACGCGUAUCAAACCUGCCUUACACUCUUGGACAGCCUUCUGAAAGGGAGAUUAAUACAAGAUGUUAUCAUGAGUAAGCAUUUUCGCAUGAUUAAAGGUUUACCGGUGUAAGAUGGGGAUGCGUUCCAUUAGAUAGUAGGCGGGGUAACGGCCCACCUAGUCUUCGAUGGAUAGGGGUUCUGAGAGGAAGGUCCCCCACAUUGGAACUGAGACACGGUCCAA